rnacentral:rRNA from 1 species
AACGAACGCUGGCGGCAUGCCUAACACAUGCAAGUCGAACGAGACCUUCGGGUCUAGUGGCGCACGGGUGCGUAACGCGUGGGAACCUGCCCUUAGGUUCGGAAUAACUCCCCGAAAGGGGUGCUAAUACCGGAUAAUGUCUUCGGGCCAAAGAUUUAUCGCCUUUGGAUGGGCCCGCGUUGGAUUAGCUAGUUGGUAGGGUAAAAGCCUACCAAGGCGACGAUCCAUAGCUGGUCUGAGAGGAUGAUCAGCCACACUGGGAAUGAGACACGGCCCAGAAUCCUACGGGAGGCAGCAGUGGGGAAUAUUGGACACUGGGCGAAAGCCUGAUCCAGCAAUGCCGCGUGAGUGAUGAAGGCCUUAGGGUUGUAAAGCUCUUUUACCCGGGAUGAUAAUGACAGUACCGGGAGAAUAAGCUCCGGCUAACUCCGUG